CCCUGGCUCAGGACGAACGCUGGCGGCGUGCCUAAUACAUGCAAGUCGAGCGGAAUGAUGAAGAAGCUUGCUUCUUCUGAUUUUAGCGGCGGACGGGUGAGUAACACGUGGGCAACCUACCUUGUAGAUUGGGAUAACUCCGGGAAACCGGGGCUAAUACCGAAUAAUCCAUUUUGCUUCAUGGCAAGAUGUUGAAAGGCGGCUUCGGCUGUCACUACGAGAUGGGCCCGCGGCGUAUUAGCUAGUUGGUAGGGUAAUGGCCUACCAAGGCGACGAUACGUAGCCGACCUGAGAGGGUGAUCGGCCACACUGGGACUGAGACACGGCCCAGACUCCUACGGGAGGCAGCAGUAGGGAAUCUUCCACAAUGGACGAAAGUCUGAUGGAGCAACGCCGCGUGAGUGAAGAAGGUUUUCGGAUCGUAAAACUCUGUUGUAAGGGAAGAACACGUACGAGAGUAACUGCUCGUACCUUGACGGUACCUUAUUAGAAAGCCACGGCUAACU
rnacentral:rRNA from 4 species